GAUGAACGCUGGCGGCGUGCCUAAUACAUGCAAGUCGAGCGAACAGAUGAGGAGCUUGCUCCUCUGACGUUAGCGGCGGACGGGUGAGUAACACGUGGAUAACCUACCUAUAAGACUGGGAUAACUUCGGGAAACCGGAGCUAAUACCGGAUAAUAUAUUGAACCGCAUGGUUCAAUAGUGAAAGACGGUUUUGCUGUCACUUAUAGACGGAUCCGCGCCGCAUUAGCUAGUUGGUAAGGUAACGGCUUACCAAGGCAACGAUGCGUAGCCGACCUGAGAGGGUGAUCGGCCACACUGGAACUGAGACACGGUCCAGACUCCUACGGGAGGCAGCAGUAGGGAAUCUUCCGCAAUGGGCGAAAGCCUGACGGAGCAACGCCGCGUGAGUGAUGAAGGUCUUCGGAUCGUAAAACUCUGUUAUUGGGGAAGAACAAAUGUGUAAGUAACUAUGCACGUCUUGACGGUACCUAAUCAGAAAGCCACGGCUAACUACGUG
rnacentral:rRNA from 1 species